UAUUUUUAAAAUGUUGCCGACAUUCUGAGAGUAUGAAUCCAGCCGGCAAAUCCAUCAGAUUCAAAUAAUUUACGGAAUUGAAUAAUUAACUUACCAACCGAUUUUUUUUCUCUUUACAAAAUGAUGUCGGAAACAAUUAUUUUUGUUCUGAUUAUCGUAUGUUUGGUAUCUGUUACUCACCAGACAUGUGAUGGCCAAUGGUGUCACCCCAUCAUGGGCUAUAGAUGCUGUGAAGACUAUGCCUGUGGACUCGGUCCGUUGUGGGAAAGCAAUUGUGUGUAUUUACCCUGGUAACUUUAAGGAUAAUUGUGGCAUCAAUAAUAUUUAAUGUCAAUUUAAUAUCAGCUAUUAUCAAUUUUAGCUUGACAAGAAAAAAAUAAAUCUUGAUAUUUUAAAAAACAACUUCUAUUGUAUAAUAUUUUUAAAAACCCUUUUGCUCAACUAGUCAUUAAAUUUAAACCGUUAUAAUUAAAUUAUUCAUUCGAAUGAUGAAUCAAUAAAUGAGUUUAAAAAAAUCAAUCCACUGAGCGCAAAUGACGAGUAUUCAUAAAAAUUAUUCUCACUUACAUCCAAAUAACAUUACAGUCGUUAUUUAAAAAAUCAGUUGUAGAUUCGGAGUGGUUAGGAAGUAUUUUUUAAGCAGAGUGUUUAAGUUUAGUCAUGUAAUUUCCGUGACCUUGCAACCUAUCCGAGUCGCAAAAAUCCCGAGAGCUACAUAUUUAUAAAUUUUAUCAGCGUCUAAGUACACUGAUAAAGAUGUCAUAUAUUUUUUAAAUGUUUCCGAUAUUCCGAGAGUAUAAAUCCAGAUGGCAAAUCCAUCAGAUUCAAAUAAUUUACGGAAUUGAAUAAUUAACUUACCAACCGAAUUUUUUUUUUCUUUACAAAAUGAUGUCGAAAACAAUUAUUUUUGUUCUGAUUAUCGUAUGUUUGGUAUCCGUUACUCACCAGACAUGUGAUGGCCAAUGGUGUCACCCUAUCAUGGGAUAUAGAUGCUGUGAAGACUAUGCCUGUGGAAGCGGUUGGUUUUUUCAAGGCAAUUGUAUGUAUUCACCCUGGGAACUUUAAGGAUAAUUAUGGCAUCAAUAAUAAUUGAUGGCAGUAUCAGCCAUUAUCAAUUUUAGCUCGACAAGAUGAAAAUCGAUCCUCGUAUUAUAAAAAACUAAUUCUAAUGUAAAAUAUUUUAAAAUACUUUUACUGAAUUUGUCAUUGAUAAUAAAUUAUAAUAAUUAAAAUAUUAAUUUGAAUAAUAAAUAAAUGAACUUGCACCCAAAUUACAUUACAAAC